UUGAUUAGUUAUUUUUGUGUGUUUCAAAAUAAUAUAUAAAGUAAUGUAUUUUCUAAAUACUAUGACAGCACUAUAGGAAACGACAGAGUACACAAGAUGAAUGAGUUUACAUUUUAAAACUUCGACGGGCGUCUGAUAAUCCCAGCAGUAAUGCGACAACUAUAAGAGCUUCAACGUCCAGCAUACAAUCAUAAGACUCUUCCUUCAUGGAUGGCAAGGAGAAGUUCAUUUUAACCGUAGACGAGCACUGAAUUAUCAGGUUCUAAGACUCUUCUUCCGAGGUUAACUUCGAAAGUUCUUCAUUAGAAAUCCAAACACGCGUAAGUUGAUGACGUCAUUUGUUCGCUUUCAUAAUACAAGUUGAAUUUAACCUUACUCUUCAAAGGAUGCUGUUUGUAUAUUUUAAUAAGCUAGAAUGACAGGACAACACUUAAUAUAGCUCCUGGUGGCAAGUCUGAAAUUUGACGGAACUAUUGUAUUAACUUUUUGCUGUCUCUGUUGAGGAGAAAUGCAUAGAAAUGAUUAGUAAAGAAUGUAUUCUCCUUUGAAAAAUCUGGCCACACAAGUUAAACUAAAGAAGCCAGGAAGAGUUGGCUACUUUUAGUCAUUUGACUUUAAAGGCUAUAGAGCCCUAUUCUGAGACAAUGUCACAAUCUUCCACACACACAGGUUGAUGUGGCACUCGCUUUGGUGG